rnacentral:rRNA from 1 species
UACGAAGGGGGCUAGCGUUGUUCGGAAUUACUGGGCGUAAAGCGCGCGCAGGCGGCUAUCCAAGUCAGUGGUGAAAGCCCGGAGCUCAACUCCGGAACUGCCAUUGAAACUGUUUAGCUUGAGGACGAGAGAGGUGAGUGGAAUUCCCAGUGUAGAGGUGAAAUUCGUAGAUAUUCGGAAGAACACCAGUGGCGAAGGCGGCUCACUGGACUGGUAUUGACGCUGAGGUGCGAAAGCGUGGGGAGCAAACAGG